AUGUACUUCAUUUGUCUACCAUACCAUGUUUUUACAUUCAAGUGUUGUUCUAGUGCUCUGUUGCAAUGCCAUCUUAGUUUCCCAAUCAUACACGUGUAUGUUACCUUAGUUUUUUCUGUACGUAUUCCGCUAGCAUACAUUUUACAUUCAACUAAUGUUUUUUUAUUGUGUCGUCCUGUCGUAUCCCUAGCUCUUACACCAUACUCCCUCCGUCCAGUUACUAAAUUUUUUCACCAUGCUGUUCUUAAAAGAAGAAAGAGGAAUACUAUUGUUUCCAUAAAAGAUGAGAAUGACAACAUCCACUUUAAUCCUCAAGACAUUGCGAAUACUUUUGUGAACUAUUUUAAAUACGUUGGUAGGCCUUUUCUUGCAUCCAGUCUUCCUCUUGACUGCCAAGAUUACACCUAUAGUGUUCCGGACAAGGAGGAAAUUCUUAACACUCUCAAGGACAUGAAGCUAAACGCCUCUCCGGGGCCUGAUGGUUUCAAUGUUGAAUUCUAUAUUGCUACCUGGAGUUGGAUUGGUGAUGAUGUCAUUGCUAUGGUGAGAAAUUUUUACCAGACAGGUAUAAUGCCAGCACAUAUUAGUGAUACUCACAUUGCUCUUAUUCCUAAGAAAUUGGUCUCAAAAAUCCCUUCUGUCUAUCGACCUAUCAGCCUUUGCAAUGUCGUUUAUAAGAUCAUUUCCAAAACCUUGGCCAACAGAUUGAAGCCUCACCUUCCUGACUAUAUUGAUCCUUCCCAACAAGCCUUCAUUGAGGGUAGACGCAUAUCCAAUAAUAUCAUCUUAGCCUAA
rnacentral:rRNA from 1 species